ensembl:antisense 1700034H15Rik RIKEN cDNA 1700034H15 gene
CGCCUCGACCCCCGCGCGGCCCGCCUUGCGCGCGCCCUUGGCGAGGUGGCCGUGGCCGUGGCCGUGCGAGUGGCCGUGGCCCGCGCCCUGGCCCUCGCCGCUGUGAUGGUGGAACAGACAGAGCCCCAGCACGUUGACCAGCAGCCCCGCCACGCCGACGCUCAGCACCACGAGCGGCUGCUGCAUCUCAUGCGGCUCGAUGAAGCGCUCGACGGCUUCCAGCAGGAUGGCGAAGCACAGCCCCGUGAGGAAGAUGGCGUUCACCAGUGCGCCCAUCACCUCAGCGCGGAUCCAGCCGAACGUGUUCUUCUGCGUGGCGUGAGUCCUCCGGGCGAAGCGCUCGGCCACCAGCGCCACUACGAGCGCCAGCACGUCCGACAGCAUGUGGAAGGAGUCGGACAGCAUGGCGAGCGACGCGGUCACCCGGCUCACCACCACCUCCAGCACCAUGAACAUGAAGGAAUAAUGAAAAUGGGGCCCAAGUUCUGCAGUCAUGGCAGGAAGGACAAGGCUGUGAAUUUGUGAGGCAGAAUCUACAAGCAAUGAAUGAGUGGAGAGCCCAUGCAGCUAAGAAAUUUGUUCCAUGCCCCACAGCUUGUGACUGUGGGACUCUGUGGACAUGAAGCCUGGCUUGUAACUUCACACCUUCAUUGGGGUAGCAAGCUGGUCUGAAGCUCAAGACCACAUGAAGCCCUACAGAGUCUGCUUCUCCCUGCUUCCUGUUCCUCUACACCGCUGGCUCUACUACAAAGAAAUGGGGAUUCCCCCAAGAAUCUCAUGCCGAGAGAAGGAAAAAGUGUCCAUCAAAAGAACGUGUCUCCUGGAAAGAGUCUUGCACACAGUUGUGACAACUUAUCAGCCCACAUCACAGGGCUGCGUGAAAUCUCAAGGACAGCACAGUGGUAAGCAGGGUCCCACCUGGACUGGGACUGCAGAUGCCCGGGCCUCCUAUGUAAGUAUUUGUUCUGUUUGUUUUCCGAGACAGAGUCUUUCUAUGUUAUCACUGGAGUACCGGCUGGCUCCUUAAGGCAUGUGUCACUGCACGGUUUAGAUUUUAGUUAUCAUUAGCAGAUCAUAUUUUUUUCUUUGCUUGUUUCAAUAUUUUUUUUCUUUUUUAAAAAAGAUUAUAUUUAUUUUUUAUUUUAUACAGAUGUGUUUUAUCCAAAUAUGUGCCUGCAUGCCAGAAGAUACCAUUACAGAUGGUUGUGAGCCACCAUGUGGUUGCUGGGAAUUGAACUGAGGACCUCUGGAAGAGCAGACAGUGCUCUUAACUGCUGAGCCAUCUCUCCAGCCCCCGCAUUGUACUUUGAACUGGCCUUUAAGCCAUGUUCCUCGGAGGGUCAGCAGCCAGCAGCCAGCAACCUCUCCUUGCCGGAGCAGAAUCCUCAACAAAAGCCGCUUAAGGCAGGAAGCAUCUGUUGUGGCGGCAGCUGGAGGGUGCGGUUCAUCCUAGCAGGGAAGACCUGGCAGCAGGAGCUGGAGGCCUUGGGGCCAGGAAACCAAGAGCGUCUUCUCAGUGCUCAGCCUGCUGUCGUCCAGGGCGCCAGCCUGUGAGGUGGCAUCGGCCCACCUUUACCAAGUCUUCUAGAAACUGUCUCUCAGGCAUGCCUAGAAGUUCGUUUCCAUGGUGAUUCCAAACAUGUUGAGAUUCCAAACAUGAUGGUCAAGUCAGCCACCACAGAUGUGUUAAUUAUAUUUUACGAUGUUUCCAAUUUACGGUGAGUUUAUUAAGGGUAGGUCAAAGACCCUCCGUAUUCCGAAAUUCAGAAGAUUUGUACCCAGGUUUACCUGUUGUUGGGUUUUCUCCCAUUGGCUUUGGCUUUUGUGCUUCCUCCUUUGUCCUUGAGAUAGGCCCUUGCUGUGCAACCCCAGCUGUUCCAGAACUUGCUAAGUAGACCUGUCUGUCUUUGAAUUUGCUGCAAUCCUCUUGCCUCUGUCUCCUGAGAGCUAGGAUUAUAUAGACACCGUGCUCACUGCGUCUUUGUCUCUUGAAGGAUGUGAAGCAAGUCACGCAGGAAAGAACCAACUCUCCAAAGUUAUCCUCUGAUGUACAUACAUACGUAAACACACACACACACACACACACACACAAACACACACACACACACACACACAUACACACACACACACACAAAACAUAAUCCAAAGCCAAACACCUUGAUAUGCAUCUCAGAAAAAUAGGGCUAUUCUGAUACAUAGCCAUAGUACAUUUUUGCCUGCUUUAUAAGUUAGGAUGUCAUUGUCUGUAAACCCAGUGGCUCUAACAUCUUCUUAACACUGCCCCCUCCAAGGCGAUUACCUGCCUCUCCCCUCAUUUUGCUUAGAGCAUUCCCAUAGCCCCCCUUUUUUGUUCUUUAUAAUGUUGACAUAUUCUUAAGAAUAUAGUUCUUCUCAUGUUUUGGGGGGAAGCAAGCAGUAACAUCAUUAGCUUGAGGCUGGAGUGGGCUAAAAGCAUGUUCCAGAAGCACCUUCCAGGCCCACAUCAGCUACAUAGUAAGAGCCUGUCUCAGGAAGCCAAGGUUGGAGUAGGGCUCAGCCGUGUUGCACUUGCCUCUCACACACAGGCCUCAGAUUGAUCCCCAACACCACAAGAUCAAAUAAAAGCCCAUCUGCUCCGUCUGAUGCUUUGUUCUCUCGGUUGGGAUAUUGCGGAAGUGGAGUCCUGUCCUGUUUCUGGGGGCAUCUGACCUGGGAGCAAGUGACAUCCACCUGUCCCUUCCCAGAAGCGCAUCCUUUAAUCUCUCUCUCCACCCAUUCCACACUCGCCCAGCUCCUUUACCAUAUAAUUAUUUUCUUUCAUUUGAACUGAGAAGCCGUCUCUGGGUAGGUACUGUUAAGACUACGAAAAUGUAUUAUCCACCAACAUUUCCUCUCACACUCGGUGUGGGAAAUGAGCCCCACCCGGCUCCAUCUUCACGUUCUUGCGCUGCCUGCCUCAGUGUUUGCCAGUGUCCUGGAAGCAGGAGCUCACCACACCCCCACUAGUUUAUUUCUUGGUCUCAGUGGUUUACAGUUCAUCUCUGCUUAUUUGGGGCCUGUGGUUGCUGAUUUCAUGAAUGUUUCUGGAUUUUUGACUGAAUGAUGCAACUGAGGUGGCUGUGGUGAUUCUGUCCACCCUAGCGUGGCCAGAGAACCCGCAACAACAGCUCGAAGGACUUCGGAAAGAUGACAUUGAUUCUGGCUUUCCUGUUUGUAACCAAUGGGUUGUGGGUAGGCUGUGCAAGCUUCAGUUUCCCCGACGGUGUCGGUGUGAGAAUACUGGAGUUUACCAUCCAGACUGAACAAGAUAACGUUUGUGUUUCGGAGAAUGACUGAUACACCAGUACCUCACAGGUUCUGUUCCUAGUGUGAUAUGGUUCAUGCAUGAACCAGGUCAUCUCUGCUGUUGUUGCAGCUCCCUAUUGCUCACAGCCACCAUUGAAAAGUACCCCCAAACUCACUCAGGUCUGCCCCUUUCCUACAGCUGGGUUAAUCCAGAGAUAACUAGCCUGGCUGCUUUUUUUCAGAGAGCAUGGGUAUGAAAUAGAGAGGCAAAUGGCUCACUCCUGGCUACCCAGGAGGGGUGCCUCAUUUCUGGAAACACACCUAGUCCAGCGAGCGCAUUCUCUGUCACCAUCAAGGGCUGCUUACACCCCUCUCUUCUUUUCCUGGUGACGGGUGUUACUCUGAGGCGCUCACGCUCGCUCGCUCGCAGUGGGAGAACGUUCUCUGCGUGACUCAUCCUCAUUCCAGGAUAACGUGCUCUACUUUCGUUCUCUGCCUCCCACUCAGUUUCACAUCCCUCUUUGGAGCCUCCGGACCCUCUGUGCCCCAUCUGCCUCCCACGCCCAUCCCCGCCCUCUUCUGCUUUGGUCCUUGCUCCAGACUGCUGCACCAUCCUCAGAUUCUACUGCCUGCACUGGGAGGAGUCAGGUUUAUGGCAGAGCAUGUGUGUUGCUGAGAAGCCUCUCUGAUUCACGUUGGAUAUAGCACGAAGGUGUACAAGGAGAAGUGUCUGUCUGUGUGUCCAGCAUCCUGCAAAGGCCCAAGUACCGCAGCAAAGCAAAGAGCUCCAGGCACCCCAGUUUCAUUUCAUUUCCUCCAAAGCCCCUGGGAAUUCUGAGCUCCCGGGGUUGCUGGUGAGCAGAAUCAGACUGGGAAAAGCCAUGCCAGGGGCUCAGCCUAGGGAUGUGAUCGUUGUGCCAAGAUCUCCAGUUUCGUGUUUUGUUUCUUCUGAAACAUGCUCUGACCUGUAUAAUUUGAUGUUACUCACAUCUAAAUGCUAAUAAAACAACUGAAAUAUUUGCAGAUGA